rnacentral:rRNA from 1 species
UACAGAGGGUGCAAGCGUUAAUCGGAAUUACUGGGCGUAAAGCGUGCGUAGACGGUUAAGUAAGUCGGAUGUGAAAGCCCCGGGCUCAACCCGGGAAUUGCAUUCGAGACUGCGUAGCUAGGGUGCGGAAGAGGGAAGCGGAAUUUCCGGUGUAGCGGUGAAAUGCGUAGAUAUCGGAAGGAACAUCAGUGGCGAAAGCGGCUUCCUGGUCCAGCACAGACGUUCAGGCACGAAAGCGUGGGGAGCAAACAGG